rnacentral:rRNA from 1 species
GACGAACGCUGGCGGCGUGCUUAACACAUGCAAGUCGAACGAUGAACCGGAGCUUGCUCUGGGGACUAGCGGCGAACGGGUGAUUAACACGGGGGCAACCUGCCCCAGACACCGGGAUAACCAUUCGCAAGGAUGGCUACUACCGGAUACGACCACUUCGGGCAUCCGAUGGUGGUGGAAAGGAUUCUUGUCUGGGAUGGGUCCGCGGCCUCUCAGCUUGUUAGUGGGGGAAGGGCCUACCAAGGCGACGGCGGGUAGCCGUCCUGAGAGGGCGACCGGCGACACUGGGACUGAGACACGGCGCAGACGCCUACGGGAGGCAGCAGUGGGGAAUAUGGCGCAAUGGGCGAAAGCCUGACGCAGCGACGCCGCGCGAGGGACGAAGGUCUUCGGAUUGUAAACCUCUUUCAGCAGGGAUGAAGCGAAAGUGACGGUACCUGCAGAAGAAGCACCGGCUAACUACGUGCCAGCCGCCGCGGUAAAAC